AUUGAACGCUGGCGGCAGGCCUAACACAUGCAAGUCGAACGAGUGGCGGACGGGUGAGUAAUGUCUGGGAAACUGCCCGAUGGAGGGGGAUAACUACUGGAAACGGUAGCUAAUACCGCAUACCAUCGGAUGUGCCCAUAUGGGAUUAGCUGGUAGGUGGGGUAACGGCUCACCUAGGCGACGAUCCCUAGCGGGUCUGAGAGGAUGACCAGCCACACUGGAACUGAGACACGGUCCAGACUCCUACGUGAGGCAGCAGUGGGGAAUAUUGCACAAUGGGCGCAAGCCUGAUGCAGCCAUGCCGCGUGGAUGAAGAAGGCCUUCGGGUUGUAAAGUACUUUCAGCGGGGAGGCGUUACCCACAGAAGAAGCACCGGCUAACUCCGUGCCAGCAGCCGCGGUAAUAC
rnacentral:rRNA from 1 species